UCCUACGGGUGGCUGCAGUCGAGAAUCUUCGGCAAUGGGCGCAAGCCUGACCGAGCGACGCCGCGUGCGGGAUGAAGGCCCUUGGGUUGUAAACCGCUGUCAGAGGGGAUGAAGUGCCGGUGAGCUAUCUCAUCGGUUUGACAUAGCCUCAGAGGAAGCACGGGCUAAGUUCGUGCCAGCAGCCGCGGUAAUACGAACUGUGCAAACGUUAUUCGGAAUCACUGGGCUUAAAGGGUGCGUAGGCGGUCAUUUAGGUAGGGUGUGAAAGCCCCCGGCUCAACCGGGGAAUUGCGCCCUAAACCGGGUGACUCGAGUGAGAUAGGGGUGUGUGGAACUUCCGGUGGAGCGGUGAAAUGUGUUGAUAUCGGAAGGAACGCCGGUGGCGAAAGCGACACACUGGGUCUCAACUGACGCUGAGGCACGAAAGCCAGGGGAGCAAACGGGAUUAGAUACCCCAGUAGUC
rnacentral:rRNA from 1 species